rnacentral:rRNA from 2 species
UUGAGCUCAACUAUUUCCCUAAGUAGUAAGACUUUAAAGUUAAAACUUAAAGAACAUGGCGGCUUAAAUUAUUCAGGGGAACUUACUACAUAAACGAUGAUCCACGAGUCCAUAUUCCUAUUUUUACAGCUUAUAUACCGCCGUUUAGUGUUUAAUUAAGUUGAAUACGAACAAAAAAUCCUUUUUAAAAUCAGGUCAUGGUGUAGCAAAUAAAUAGGUGUAAGCGAGUUACAAUAAAUUUUUUUUUCAGACAUAGUUCUAUAAACUCUAUUAAAGUUGGACUUGAAAGUAAAAUUUAACAAUAAUAAAAUUUGGAUUUUAUUUUAAGUGU